rnacentral:rRNA from 1 species
AGUAACACGUGGGUGACCUGCCCUUAGCUCUGGGAUAAGCCUGGGAAACUGGGUCUAAUACCGGAUAUGACUCCAUGACGCAUGUUGUGGGGUGGAAAGCCUUGUGCGGCUAGGGAUGGGCCCGCGGCCUAUCAGCUUGUUGGUGGGGUGAUGGCCUACCAAGGCUUCGACGGGUAGCCGGCCUGAGAGGGCGUCCGGCCACACUGGGACUGAGACACGGCCCAG